rnacentral:rRNA from 1 species
AGACCCGAAACCCGGUGAUCUAGCCAUGGGCAGGUUGAAGGUUGGGUAACACUAACUGGAGGACCGAACCGACUAAUGUUGAAAAAUUAGCGGAUGACCUGUGGCUGGGGGUGAAAGGCCAAUCAAACCGGGAGAUAGCUGGUUCUCCCCGAAAGCUAUUUAGGUAGCGCCUCGUGAAUUCAUCUCCGGGGGUAGAGCACUGUUUCGGCUAGGGGGCCAUCCCGGCUUACCAACCCGAUGCAAACUGCGAAUACCGGAGAAUGUUAUCACGGGAGACACACGGCGGGUGCUAACGUCCGUCGUGAAGAGGGAAACAACCCAGACCGCCAGCUAAGGUCCCAAAGUCAUGGUUAAGUGGGAAACGAUGUGGGAAGGCCCAGACAGCCAGGAUGUUGGCUUAGAAGCAGCCAUCAUUUAAAGAAAGCGUAAUAGCUCACUGGUCGAGUCGGCCUGCGCGGAAGAUGUAACGGGGCUAAACCAUGCACCGAAGCUGCGGCAGCGAACGUAUCACCCAAGACAACUUUACGGAGUUGACGAUUGACGGAGCGAAGCGACGUCAAAGCGUUCAUUAAAGUCGAGUUGGCUUAGGGAUACGUUCGUUGGGUAGGGGAGCGUUCUGUAAGCCUGUGAAGGUGUGUCGUGAGGCAUGCUGGAGGUAUCAGAAGUGCGAAUGCUGACAUAAGUAACGAUAAAGCGGGUGAAAAGCCCGCUCGCCGGAAGACCAAGGGUUCCUGUCCAACGUUAAUCGGGGCAGGGUGAGUCGACCCCUAAGGCGAGGCCGAAAGGCGUAGUCGAUGGGAAACGGGUUAAUAUUCCCGUACUUGGUGUUACUGCGAAGGGGGGACGGAGAAGGCUAUGUUGGCCGGGCGACGGUUGUCCCGGUUUAAGGGUGUAGGUGUGUGUUCCAGGUAAAUCCGGUUCACUUUAACACUGAGGCGUGACGACGAGGCACUACGGUGCUGAAGCAACAAAU